UACAGAGGUCUCAAGCGUUGUUCGGAUUCAUUGGGCGUAAAGGGUGCGUAGGCGGCGCGGUAAGUCGGGUGUGAAAUCUCGGAGCUUAACUCCGAAACUGCAUUCGAUACUGCCGUGCUUGAGGACUGGAGAGGAGACUGGAAUUUACGGUGUAGCGGUGAAAUGCGUAGAUAUCGGGAGGAACACCAGUAGCGAAGGCGGCACUCUGGGCCGGAACUGACGCUGAGGAGCGAAAGCGUGGGUAGCAAACAGG
rnacentral:rRNA from 1 species